rnacentral:rRNA from 1 species
AUUGAACGCUGGCGGCAGGCUUAACACAUGCAAGUCGAGCGGGGUGAUGGUGCUUGCACUAUCACUUAGCGGCGGACGGGUGAGUAAUGCUUAGGAAUCUGCCUAUUAGUGGGGGACAACAUCUCGAAAGGGAUGCUAAUACCGCAUACGUCCUACGGGAGAAAGCAGGGGAUCACUUGUGACCUUGCGCUACUACAUGAGCCUAAGUCGGAUUAGCUAGUUGGUGGGGUAAAGGCCUACCAAGGCGACGAUCUGUAGCGGGUCUGAGAGGAUGAUCCGCCACACUGGGACUGAGACACGGCCCAGACUCCUACGGGAGGCAGCAGUGGGGAAUAUUGGACAAUGGGGGGAACCCUGAUCCAGCCAUGCCGCGUGUGUGAAGAAGGCCUUAUGGUUGUAAAGCACUUUAAGCGAGGAGGAGGCUCUUUUGGUUAAUACCCAAGAUGAGUGGACGUUACUCGCAGAAUAAGCACCGGCUAACUCUGUGCCAGCAGCCGCCGUAA